rnacentral:rRNA from 1 species
AUACGUAGGGGGCGAGCGUUGUCCGGAAUUACUGGGCGUAAAGGGUGCGUAGGCGGUUGCCUAAGUCAGAUGUGAAAUCCCCGGGCUUAACUCGGGUGGUGCAUUUGAAACUGGGUUACUAGAGUGCAGGAGAGGGAAGCGGAAUUCCUAGUGUAGCGGUGAAAUGCGUAGAUAUCUGGAGGAACAUCAGUGGCGAAGGCGGCCACCUGGACCGAGACUGACACUGAGGUGCGAAAGCGUGGGUAGC